UAGGGAAUAUUGCAAAAUGGGCGAAAGCCCGAUGCAGCAACGCCGCGUGGGCGAUGAAGGCCUUCGGGUCGUAAAGCCCUUUUUGAGGGGAUGAGGAAGGACAGUACCCUCAGAAUAAGCCUCGGCUAACUACGUGCCAGCAGCCGCGGUAAAACGUAGGAGGCGAGCGUUAUCCGGAUUUACUGGGCGUAAAGCGCGUGCAGGCGGAUUGGAGAGUUGGAUGUGAAAGCUCCCGGCUUAACUGGGAGAGGUCGUUCAAUACUUCCAGGCUUGAGUGCAGUAGAUGGAAGUGGAAUUCCAGGUGUAGUGGUGAAAUGCGUAGAUAUCCGGAGGAACACCAGUGGCGAAAGCGGCUUCCUGGACUGUAACUGACGCUCAGACGCGAAAGCUAGGGUAGCAAAC
rnacentral:rRNA from 1 species